rnacentral:rRNA from 1 species
GUGGAGAAUACUCCCGGGAAACUGGGGCUAAUGCUCCAUAGUGGAUAUGUCCUGGAAUGGUAUAUCCUCGAAAGAUCCGUCGCCUUAGGAUGGCUGCGUCCGAUUAGGUUGUUGGCGGGGUAACGGCCCACCAAGCCUUUAUCGGUACGGGUUGUGGGAGCAAGAUCCCGGAGAUGGAUUCUGAGACAUGAAUCCAGGCCCUACGGGGCGCAGCAGGCGCGCAAACUUUACAAUGCGAGCAAUCGUGAUAAGGAAACCCUGAGUGCCUGUCGAUGCAGGCGUUCAUAUAUCUAAAUCAUAUGUGAAGAAAGGGCAGGGCAAGACCGUGCCAGCCGCCGCGGUAAUACCGGCUGCUCGAGUGAUGGCCUAUUACUGGGUUUAAAGCGUCCGUAGCUUGACUGUUAGGUCUCUUGGGAAAUCUUCGCGCUCAACGUGAAGGCGUCUAAGAGAUACCGGCAGCUUGGAACUGGGAGAGGUAAACCGUACUUCGGGGGUAGGAGUGAAAUCUUGUAAUCCUCGAGGGACGACCUAUGGCGAAGGCAGUUUACCAGACAGCUUCGACAGUGAGGGACAAGCUGGGGGAGCAAACGGGAUUAGAUACCCCGGUAGUCCCAGCCGUAAACAAUGUGCGUUAGGUGUGUCGGUAACCACGUGUUACUGAUGCGCCGAAGAGAAAUCGUGAAACGCACCACCUGGGAAGUACGGUCGCAAGGCUGAAACUUAAAGGAAUUGGCGGGAGCACCACAACAGGUGGAGCCUGCGGUUUAAUUGGAACGCCGGACAUCUCACCGGAUAAGACAGCUGAAUGAUUGUCAAUCUGAAGGUUUUACAUGACUAGCUGAGAGGAGGUGCAUGGCCGUCGUCAGUUCGUACUGUGAAGCAUCCUGUUAAGUCAGGCAACGAGCGAGACCCACGCCGACAAUUGCCAGCAGCAUCUCCGGAU